AGGAUGAUAUACUGGAUCAUCAAUGCUGCUCAGAAGAAACAAACUGCUUGUCUAUGCAGUGCGGGUGUAUUACAAAUGUUUGCGAAAAAGUGGUGUCUGUAGAUAUUUAGGAAACUGUACUGGAUCAUCUGACUCGGAAAAAUUAAAUACAGGGUUGAAGUUCUCGUUGUAGAUUUUGAUAUGGAUUGGAGGAUGAUAUACUGGAUCAUCUCUGCUGCUCAGAAGAAACAAAUUGCUUGUCUAUGCAGUGCGGGUGCAUUACAAAUGUUUUUGCGAAAAAGUGGCGUCUGUAGAUAUUUAGGAAACUGUACUGGAUUAUCUUGACUCGGAAGACUUAAAUACAGGGUUGAAGUUCUCGUUGCAGAUUUUGACAUGGAUUGGAGGAUGAUGUACUGGAUCAUCAAUUCUGCUCAGAAGAAACAAACUGCUUGUCUAAGCAGUGCGGGUGUAUUACAAAUGUUUUGUAGAAAAGUGGUGUCUGUAGAUAUUUAGGUGAGCAUACCAUGAAAAGCCUUCCCAUUUCCCUUUAGUGUUUUUGUCUAUUUUUUACUAGGAUGCCUCUAAUGGGCAAGUAGACGUAAUCUUUGAGAAAUAAUUAUCUAUUUUAAGGGAACAGAUUCUAAGAUAUAACAUAUAAUGAACCUUAAGGGAAA